rnacentral:rRNA from 1 species
AGCGCAGGUGGUUUCUUAAGUCUGAUGUGAAAGCCCACGGCUCAACCGUGGAAGGUCAUUGGAAACUGGGGAACUUGAAUGCAGAAGAGGAGAGUGGAAUUCCAUGUGUAGCGGUGAAAUGCGUAGAUAUAUGGAGGAACACCAGUGGCGAAGGCGACUCUCUGGUCUGUUAUUGACACUGAGGCUCGAAAGCGUGGGGAGCAAACA